UCAAACUUGGUCAUUUAGAGGAAGUACAAGUCGUAACAAGGUUUCCGUAGGUGAACCUGCGGAAGGAUCAUUAAUGAAUUUAAAAAUCCACGGGGAGCUGCAGUGUGUGUCUUGAUGGAGGCAUGCUGUGCUCUCUUCACCCCUUGUGAACCGUAAACCACUCUCUCCCUCUAUACGUACUUGUAUGUAUGGUGGGGGAGAGACCAAUUAUUUAAACCUGUUUAUUGUGUAUGUUUUAAUUUGCAUAAGUAGUUGUGUGUGUGUAGCGUGCUGUUGUUUUUAACGAACGGCGGCAUCUUCCCCCAGCGAACAUUUCAUUAAUAUACUAUACAACUUUUAACAAUGGAUCUCUUGGCUCUCGCAUCGAUGAAGAACGCAGC
rnacentral:misc_RNA from 1 species